GAACAUGUUCAAAUCCCAUUGUUGCCACUUACUAGCUGUGUGAUCUUGAAGAAGACACUUAGCCACCCGCAUCACAAAAUAGAGGUUAAUUAUACCACCCGCCGCUCAGGACUGUUGUGAGGGUUACGUUGGUAAAAAACAUAUACAGCACUUGGGACGCUGUCCGACAUAGAGUUGGUACCCAGUGAGUGCUAGCUCGUAAUAUCAUCCACCUCACAAGGCAUGACAUCCUUUUAUAUAACUUUAGACAGACUUGUAAAAUAAAAA